GAUGAACGCUGGCGGCGUGCCUAAUACAUGCAAGUCGAGCGAACAGACGAGGAGCUUGCUCCUCUGACGUUAACGGCGUACGGGUGAGUAACAUAUCGAUACCCUACCUAUAAGACUGGGAUAACUUCGUGAAACCGGUACUAAUACCGGAUCAUAUCUUCAACCGCAUGGUUGAAUAGUGAAAGCCGGUUUUGCUGUCCCUUCUAGAUGUAUCCGGGCGGCAUUGGCUGGUUGGUAGGGUAACGGCUUCCGAAGGCGGCGAUGCGUAGCCGACCUGUCAGCGGGAAGGGCGACACUGGAACUGAGACACGGUCCAGAGUCCUAGGGGAGGCAGAAGUAGGGAAUCGUGCGCGAUGGGCGGAAGCUUGACGGAGCAGCGCAGCGUGGAUGAUGAAGGGCUUCGGAUCGGAAGACUCUGUUAUUGGGGAAGACCGAAUGUGGAAGUAGCUAUGCACGUCGUGACGGUACCUGCACAAAAAGCAACGGCUAACUACGUG
rnacentral:rRNA from 1 species